AGAAGGGAAUAAAAGUUCCAUCCUGGAUGGAUUGGUGAUGUUGUCGACUCGGUGAACUAUCAUUAACCUUGGCGGAGUAUAGUGCACCCCUUGAUAUUGUAAGUUGCAACACUACUUAUUUAGCAGCUGAUCAUGCAUUAUCUAUGUUUUUUUGUGAUAUAGAUAUAUGUCACAAUAGGUUCUUGGCGUAAGUUCAUCAUGUAGUUAUCAGUUAUGUGGUCUGCUCUGAAUGCGACUGUUUGAUGUCACUACGCCGCCAUGGUACUGUACAUAUGUCGCCAUUCGGUAACACGUGACCUCAAAGACUUGAGUGCUUGUAAAUAAGUUUGUGUUAAUCUUGUUUUGAAGAGUUCAAGGAUAAUGAUCGCUCAUAACUUUAAGUGUGG
rnacentral:sRNA from 1 species